rnacentral:rRNA from 1 species
GAAUGCUGACAUAAGUAACGAUAAAGCGGGUGAAAAGCCCGCUCGCCGGAAGACCAAGGGUUCCUGUCCAACGUUAAUCGGGGCAGGGUGAGUCGACCCCUAAGGCGAGGCCGAAAGGCGUAGUCGAUGGGAAACGGGUUAAUAUUCCCGUACUUGGUGUUACUGCGAAGGGGGGACGGAGAAGGCUAUGUUGGCCGGGC